rnacentral:rRNA from 1 species
UACGUAGGGUGCGAGCGUUAAUCGGAAUUACUGGGCGUAAAGCGUGCGCAGGCGGUUUGCUAAGACCGAUGUGAAAUCCCCGGGCUCAACCUGGGAACUGCAUUGGUGACUGGCAGGCUAGAGUAUGGCAGAGGGGGGUAGAAUUCCACGUGUAGCAGUGAAAUGCGUAGAGAUGUGGAGGAAUACCGAUGGCGAAGGCAGCCCCCUGGGCCAACACUGACGCUCAUGC